CUGCUGGUCUGCACGAAAGAAAGAAUACAUUUGGCCAGAGCCAUAGAGAGAAAUUUCUCUAUGGCUCUGCAUUUGGCUAACCAGAGAACUCUCGGCUAAUGUUUAGAACUGAUACAUUUGGCUAACGAAAGUAUCAGCUAGCGUGAAGAACCGAUCAAUGGCAGCGUUUCAUCCUCCACAGAAGUUUCUUGUUGCUAGACGACAUGCUGAAUACAAGUAUGGAUUUUGUGACACACAUUUGUGUUUCACCUACAGACUGGGAUGGCGUAGGCUCAGAUUGGAGCUGGUGACUUUAACCCACAGUCUUCAGAACCACCAGAGUCACCAAGCAUAGCUGCUCCUAAUGACAUUUCCCAUUAUAGAGCAGCUGGUUCUGUGCAACCAAAGGUAUUCCGCAAGAUACAGCAUGGAAAUAGGAAGAGGCCACUAAAUGACUUCUAAUACAAAGACUUCAAAUGGUUGGAGUAUUCCAUAUUUAGUGUUUUGC